AGCCAUUGAUGGGAUGUUCUUGGAGUUAGCCUAUACACCACAGUGUGUGAGAUAGAAAGCCAUUGAUGGGAUGUUCUUGGAGUUAGCCUAUACACCACAGUGUGUGAGAUAGAAAGCCAUUGAUGGGAUGUUCUUGGAGUUAGCCUAUACACCACAGUGUGUGAGAUAGAAAGCCAUUGAUGGGAUGUUCUUGGAGUUAGCCUAUACACCACAGUGUGUGAGAUAGAAAGCCAUUGAUGGGAUGUUCUUGGAGUUAGCCUAUACACCACAGUGUGUGAGAUAGAAAGCCAUUGAUGGGAUGUUCUUGGAGUUAGCCUAUACACCACAGUGUGUGAGAUAGAAAGCCAUUGAUGGGAUGUUCUUGGAGUUAGCCUAUAGGCUACUUAAAAUAGCUGAAUCUCCUCUGUGCCUGAGCAGCGAGAGGGAGGAGAGGGAGAGAGGGAGUGUGCGACAUCAUAGUGAUCCACAUUGACAGUGACAUCACUACUCAACGAACGGGUGGGACUUCGCAGGCUUUCUCAUUCCAGCAGUGUGCUGUGGAUAUUGAAUCACUACCUAACUGUCAGGAAAAUGUGCCUGGUACUUGGUGGCAACUGCCUUGUCAAACAAUAAUAAUGCACUUUUGUGCCUUAACUUUAUUCCUGAGAAUGAAACCGAAUCCGUUGCAGAGUCUGCUCGACGUUGGAUCUGUGCAUCUGUUGAUUCCGGAUGGUGCGAUCUGCUGAAUGAAGCGGGAACAGAGGACCUGAGCCCUAGGACCACGCAUCAAGACUACCUGGCCUGAGUCCACCUGUCCACAGUCCACCUGGUCAUGCUGCUGCUCAAGUUUCAACUGUUCUGCCUGUGGCUAUGGAACCCUGACCUGUUCACUGGAUGUGCUACCUUGUCCAGGACCUGCUGUUGAAGAGGACUGGCCACCACUCGAAGCCUGGUUCCUCUCGGUUUCUUCCUAGGUUCUGUCCUUUCUAGGGAGUUUUUCCUAGACACUGUGCUUGUACAUCUGCAUUGCUUGCUGUUUGGGGUUUUAGGCUGGGUUUCUGUCUAAGCACUUUGUGACAUCGGCUGAUGUAAAAAGGACUUUAUAAACACAUUUGAUUGAUUGAUUGAUUGAUUGAUUGGUGGCACAUUCAUUGGGGAAGACAAACUCAUAAUAAUGACUGAAACAGAAUACAUGGAAUGGUAUCAAACACAUAGUAUCAAACACAUGGUAUCAAACUGUCACGAUAAUUUUCAAUCCCAAUGAUAAUAACUAUCAAUCAAUCAAUAGAUUUGACCAAUCCCCGAGGUUUGUAAGACCAUGGGUAUAAUAAUAAUUAGGCAAAGACUCAGCUUUAUGCAAAAGGUCUGUACAGUUUAUUCAGAGAACGUUCUAAAUUCCAUUAUACUAAGACAUCCAUUUUAUAGCUGCGCACAUACUUCCACACAAACAGUAGGUAUCCUACGCACAUACUUCCACACAAACAGUAGGUGAGUUUUAUCCUUCUCUAUAGUUCUCACCACUGUGUAUCACUACCUAGCCGACAGUUCCAUUGCCCCAAGAUUAGGGAAACCUUGAGAAGUACUCCCUAUGCUAUCAUUAGUUCCUCAGAGGCCUAGCCAGGUCGGUCCAAACACACUUUAACCUUUUUGGGAUAGGGGGCAGCAUUGACAUUUUUGGAUGAAUAGCGUGCCCAGAGUGAACUGCCUCCUACUCUGUCCCAGAUGCUAAAAUAUGCAUAUUAAUAGUAAUAUUGGAUAGAAAACACUCUGAAUUUUCUGAAACUGUUUGAAUGAUGUCUGUGAGUAUAACAGAGCUCAUUUGGCAGGCAAAAACCUGAGAAAAAUCCAACCAGGAAUUGGGACAUCUUUGGUUUGUAGUUUUUCAAAGCUUGGCCUACCGAAUACACAUUGAGAUAUGGAUAAAGUUGCACUUCCUACAGCUUCCACUAGAUGUCAACUGUCUUUAGAAACUGGUUUGAGGAUUAUACUAUAAAGGAGGGGCUCAUACUGUAAGAGCUCUUUGAGUCAGUGGUCUGGCAGAGAGCCUUGGUCUCAUGACGCGUGCUCCCGACAGAGUUACCUCUCGUUCCAGUGCUUUUCUGAAGACAAAGGAAUUCUCCGGUUGGAACAUUAUUGAUGUUUUAUGUUAAAAACAUCCUAAAGAUUGAUUCCAUACAUCAUUUGACAUGUUUUUAAAGUACUGUAAUGGAACUUUUUGAGUUUUUGUCUGGAUGAAGUACCUGCGCCUCAUGAAGAUGGAUUACUGGGCUGAACACGCUAACAACAAGUGGCUAUUUGGACAUAAAUGAUAGAACUUUAUGGAACAUAUCAGUCAUUUAUUGUUGAACUGGGAUUCCUGGGAGUGCCUUCUGAUGAAGAUCAUCAAAGGUAAGUGAGUAUUUAUGGUGUUGUUUCUAACUUUGUUGAUUCCAAAAUGGGAGAUAUUCCUCUGGCUGUUUUGGGUUCUGAGCGCCGUUCUCAGAUUAUGCUUUUCCGUAAAGUUUUUUUGAAAUCUGACACAGCGGUUGCAUUAAGGAGAAGUCUAUCUUUAAUUCUGUGACUAACACUUGUAUCUUUUAUCAACGUUUAUAAUGAGUAUUUCUGCAAAAUCAAUGGCUGUUUUGGAAUCAAAACAUUACUGCACGUAAGGCGCCAAUGUAAACUGAGAUUUUUGGAUAUAAAUAUGCACAUUAUCGAACAAAAUAUAUAUGUAUUGUGUAACGUGAUGUCCUAUGAGUGUCAUCUGAUGAAGAUCAUCAAAGGUUAGUGAUUAAUUUUAUCUAUAGUUCUGCUUUUUGUGACUCCUAUCUUUGGCUGGAAAAAUGUCUGUGUGUUUUUUCAACUUGGCUAUGACCUAACAUAAUCGUAUGUUGUGCAUUAGCUGUAAAGCUUUUUUGAAAUCGGACACGAUGAUAGAUUAACAAGAUGUUUAUCUAUCAUUUGCUGUAUUGGACUUGUUAAGGAGGUAACCCCGGACCCUGUUGGUACUCGUUUCUCCUAACUCUGUGUAUGAUCAGCCGUGCUCAUAUGUGUACAUACCUUCUUGCAGUGGGUAACAUGGACCCAAGUGACUCUCUCAGCUAUUCUAAUGGCAAAGGUGGUGGUUUAAUAGAACCUGGUAUGGGCCUUCCGAACGGGGCUACUUCCAGUCUAUUCUCCUCAGGGACUGGAUCCACACCCAGUCUCCUGGUUGGAUUGAGUGAAUCACCUUCUCCUGUAAUUCACCUGUUGGACACAAAAUCUUGAACAUACGGGUUUGGUUAACAAACAGUCUUCUCAUGUGUUCUACUAGUAUAUCUUCAACUUCUAUGUCUACCUGUUCUGGUCCCUAACUCUGGCCUUCUAUUUGUUCUACCUGAUUAGCUAAAAUGUCAUCCAUUAUUUAAAGAAAUAGAUCUUAGUAAACCAACUCUAGGGAUAAUAUCUUGACCUAAUAUUUUAGCUACCAUAAUCGUGUCCGCCAAGUAAGUUGGGAAUGCUUCUACCCCUUUAAUAUACUUAUCUAUUAUAGUUAAACACCCCUUAUUUCCCUCCCUUCGGAAUAGUUCAAUGAAGUCCAUUUCCAAGUCCAUUAUUCUACAGAUAUAUAUAUUUUUGUGAAGUAAUUAUCCUCUAGGCCAUUAAGUCUUUCCGAACCUGCCAGGUUUUCCUAACCUGCUCUACCAUCCUUCCUCUAACCUCCAGUGUUUCCUAACCUGCUCUACCAUCCUUCCUCUAACCUGCAGUGUUUCCUAACCUGAUCUACCAUCCUUCCUCUAACCUGCAGUGUUUCCUAACCUGCUCUACCAUCCUUCCUCUAACCUGCAGUGUUUCCUAACCUGAUCUACCAUCCUUCCUCUAACCUGCAGUGUUUCCUAACCUGCUCUACCAUCCUUCCUCUAACCUGCAGUGUUUCCUAACCUGAUCUACCAUCCUUCCUCUAACCUGCAGUGUUUCCUAACCUGCUCUACCAUCCUUCCUCUAACCUGCAGUGUUUCCUAACCUGCUCUACCAUCCUUCCUCUAACCUGCAGUGUUUCCUAACCUGCUCUACCAUCCUUCCUCUAACCUGCAGUGUUUCCUAACCUGCUCUACCAUCCUUCCUCCCUGUUGACACCCGGCUCUGCCCAUGUGUCAAUAUUUCUGAAUAUCUAAACAAUGACUUAGGUAGUAUGGGCAACUUAUCCUUGUACCAAAUCUCUUCUGAAUCCCCCUAUUCCUGUCUAGGAUGUGCGGCUCCUUCUAAUGCCCUCACUACAUCCCUCUGUGUCCAUGUCCUAUAGACUUCUAUCGUGUCUGGUUAUGCUCCGUCCCCAGCUCUGGGGUUGGAUAAGGUUAUGAGUGGGAAUUGGGGUAUCUUCUCAUCGUCAUCUAACUAUUCUGUGUCCCUUCUAUCUUCUCUCAAUCCUGGCUUAUUAUCACAUUCUAACCUUCGUAACUCUCCAGGUCUCCUGCUCCUCACUCCCAGUCUCUCCCUCUCAUUCUCCUCAAAUUCCUUCUGCUCUCUCUCUCUAUCUCUGCUCACUUCCUGCCCCCCCUCCUCCUAAUACUCCCAAACCAUCAAGGUCACCUUAGGCCUCCGCAUAGGGUGGGGGAGCCCUUCUCCAUCUGCCUUUUCUACUAUCUGUCUGUCGCUCUUUCUUAUAACAGUCAGUAUCAAAUAUUGGUUGUUUCCAAAUAUUGACUAAAUGCCUCACUGUCUCCCUGUCUGCAGGGAUUUAAACAAAUAAAAUAAACAUGUCUAUGGUAGUAAUCUCUAAGAUUAUUACCUGGUUGAUAAAGUUUAUCUCGAUUACUCUCAAUGAUCCUAAAUCACCACAGAUUUCAUAUAUCCCUGUCCUGUUGGCUUAGAAUAUGUUCUAAAUACUUAACAUAAGUCUACCAUCAUUAAACUUAUUCUUGCUACUUUAUAACCUUAUUCAACAACAAAUAUAAUAAUACUAUUAUAUCAAUUUCACAGCCUUGUUGCAUACAACAACAGCUGGCUGAAAUAAAACUUUGCUAGAUUACUAAACAUCACUUAAGCCAAAAUAGUGGGAGUUACAAAAUAACCUUAGGACAGUUUUUUAUAAACACACCUCCGCCCCAUUUCUAACCCAUAAUUCUCCAUGAGUGUUGUAUAAAAAAUACUACUACUGGUCCAAAGAUAAAAUAAAGUUUCAAAUAACAAUCAGAUCAAAAUCCCUACUCUGAAACCCUCCACAGAGAAAAAUGAUUGUACCCUUAUGGCCAUAGGGAGAGAGACUGAAUUAAGGAAGUCUUCUCAUCGUCAAAGGUUAUGCCCUAUCUUUCUUCUCAUUGGUUCAAAUUACAAAUAGGUCAAAGAACUAUAAACUCCAUCAUAAUUAUCAAUUACACAAAUUACCUUAAAGUCAGUAUCACAAAUGACCUCAAAUUCAUUAUCCAAAUGGCCCUCCCAUGAGGCUGAUCAGACCACACAGGAGAGCUAUGAUAGAGGUCAAAAGUCAUAUCACCCUUUCAAAGAAGUGUUUCUUACUAUAUUAGACAACUUAAAGAAAAACCAUCAAACAUUUUCUACAUUUUGUAUCCCAGGUUCCCAGAACAUACCCUUAUCUAAAGAAUUUAUGUGUUUAAUUAAAACUCAGAAAAUAAAACUUUGUCACGCCCUCACCUUAGUUAUCUUUGUUUUCUUUAUUAUUUGGUUAGGUCAGGGUGUGACAAGGGUGGUUUGUUUAGUUUUUGUAUUGUCUAUGGGUUUUUGUAUGUCUAGGGGUUUUCUAGUCUAAGUGUUUAUAUAUCUAUGGUUGCCUAGUUUGGGAACCAUAUUUAGGUAGCCAUAUUCCUUGGUUAUUUUGUGGGUUGUUAUUCUAUGUUCAGUUGCCUGUUCUGCACUAGCCAUAUUGCUUCACGGUUAGUUUUGUUGUUUUGUUUAGUUCUGUUCAGUGUUCUCUCUUUUUUCUCUUUUUCGGAGCGUCCCGCGACAGUGCCCAGUCCGGAGCGUCUGGCGACAGUGCCCAGUCCGGGCGUCCGGAGACAGUACCCAGUCCGGAGUGUCCGGCGACAGUACCCAGUCCAGAGCGUCCCGGGACAGUACCCAGUCCGGAACCUCCAACGACGGGCCACAGUCCGGAACCUCCAACGACGGGCUACAGUCCGGGGUCUCCAGCGACGGUCCCCAGUCCAGAACAUCCGGCGAUGAUCCAAGCAGCGAGGGUCCCCAGCCCGGGACCUACGGUGAGGAUCCGCAGUCCAGAGCAUCUGGUGAUGAUCCACGGGUCAGUGCUAAAAGAGCGGACUCAGUGUUAAGAAGGGGGGCGGCAUCCAGAACCAAAGCCGCCACCAAGGUUAGAUGCCCACCCAGACCUUAGUUAUUAUUUACGUGUUUAAUUAAAACUCAGAAAAUAAAACUUUGUCACGCCCUGACCUUAGUUAUCUUUGUUUUCUUUAUUAUUUGGUUAGGUCAGGGUGUGACAAGGGUGGUUUGUUUAGUUUUUGUAUUAUCUAGAGAUUUUUCUAGUCUAGGUGUUUAUAUGUCUAUGGUUGCCUAGAUUGGUUCUCAAUCAGAGGCAGCUGUUUAUCAUUGUCUCUGAUUGGGAACCAUAUUUAGGUAGCCAUAUUCCUUGGUUAUUUUGUGGGUUGUUAUUCUAUGUUUAGUUGCCUGUUCUGCACUAGCCAUAUUGCUUCACGUUUUGUUGUUUUGUUUAGUUCUGUUCAGUGUUCUCUCUUUUAUUAAAGAGUUAUGUUCACUUAA